rnacentral:lncRNA from 1 species
CCGAACACUUGCCUUGCCAAAUUCAAUUUGGCUUCUUCUCUCUCCCCAUUUGACUAGUCAAACUUUUUCUCUUUUCUCUCUUAUCUCUUCUUCUCUCUUCUCCCCCACCCCACGUGAAACCCCCUCUUUCUUUCUUCUUGUUCGUGAAAAAUCAGCAAGCGGAAGAAGAAGAAAAGCAGCUUGCCGCAGCUCGUCGCCGCCACACCGGAGCCGAACCACCACCCGCGCAACGCUCGCCCGCACACGCCGCGUGCUCCGCCACCGCCCCUUCAUGCGUGCCGUCCUCGCCGUGUACCGUUCAACCUCUGCUCAACCCUUGUUCCGCCCCGUCCGGCCACGUCCGGCCACCGUGGGCCACCGCUCGGCCUCGCCAAGCCGCCACCUACCUUCCCGACCCCUUGCUGCCCCCAACCAUCUCUUUUUCCCCUCUGUUUUGCAACAACCAAGCAAGUUGCAGAGUGGGUCUCCAGUGACUUCGGGCCCGCUUUUGGGCCGUUUCUGGGCCCUGAACUCGAGCCGUGCUUUAGGAAGAAUCGUUCCUAGUGUCGUCCCCAUCGGAUUGAUACGUUUUGCGCGUGAUUUCGGUGAGUAAUCUCACUAAUCCUAGAUUAAUUGGUUAAUUAUACUUAAGGUUGGUUUAGUUUUAAUUAAUUAGGUUUAGGUGGUUAGAUUAGUAUAGAUUAGUGUUUAUUAGCCAAUUGUGAUGCGAAUUAGACAAAUUGAAUGUGUAAUUAGCAAGUAGACGUGGUCUACUAUUUAUUGGAAGUGUCUCGGGAUUUUUCCUGACUCUUAGUGGGCUUCAAUUAGGCUUUUCGGGCCUAAAUAGAAUUUUUAGUAUUUAAAUAUUAAUUUUUGGAAUUAAAUUAAUUAAUUAAUUAUUUUCCAAAAAUUCAAUUGAGAUGGUUAGUGACCGAAAUAUUAUGCUGAUGACCGUGGUGAAGUCUGUUUAUUUAAUCGGGCUUUAUUUUGAGCUAAAUUGAA